rnacentral:rRNA from 1 species
CGAGCACGCGCGUGUGGCAUAUCAAUAAGCGGAGGAAAAGAAACUAACAAGGAUUCCCUUAGUAACGGCGAGUGAAGCGGGAAGAGCUCAAAUUUGAAAUCUUCAAGGUUCUACCUUGACGAAUUGUAGUUUAUAGAAGUGUUUUCUGUUAGUGGAGUGGCAAAAGUUCUUUGGAAUAGGACAUCAUAGAGGGUGAGAAUCCCGUAUUUGGUCAUUCCUCCUAGCGUUGUGAUACACUUUCAACGAGUCGGAUUGUUUGGGAAUGCAGUCCAAAAUGGGUGGUAAAUUUCAUCUAAAGCUAAAUAUUGGCGAGAGACCGAUAGCGAACAAGUACCGUGAGGGAAAGAUGAAAAGAACUUUGAAAAGAGAGUUAAACAGUACGUGAAAUUGUCAAAAGGGAAGCGUUUGACACCAGUGUUGUUUUUCCGAAAUCAAUUACGAAUGUUUUGUUUUUGAGGAGUUAUGACUUCAUCGGCUUGCUCCUUUCUUUACUGAAACUUUCUUAAUGCACUUUUCGGUUAACAAGUCAACAUCAAUUUCUUUUGUUGUAAAAGGGUAUGAGGAAGGUGGCUUUCUUUUCGGAGAAAGUGUUUAUAGCCUUGUGCCUCUGCAAUCGGAGAGAUUGAGGUCUGCAGCGUAGAUCCUUCGGGGUUAGAUACGUUUGUGCUAAGUUAUAGCUUUUCAUAGACAACUUGUUGACUAUGUUUAGUCUUGUAGCUUACUCGCUUAUGCUAUUUUACCUACGCUUAGGAUGUUGAGUAGCGACAUACGCAC